CGGCUAUUAAUACCGGAUGAUACUUUUCUGACGCAUGUUAGGAAGGUCAAAGAAUUUCGGUGAAAGAUGGUCUUGCGUCUGAUUAGCUCGUUGGUGGGGUAACGGCCUACCAAGGCGACGAUCAGUAGCCGGCCUGAGAGGGUGUACGGCCACAUUGGGACUGAGACACGGCCCAAACUCCUACGGGAGGCAGCAGUGGGGAAUUUUGCACAAUGGAGGAAACUCUGAUGCAGCGACGCCGCGUGAACGAAGAAGGUUUUCGGAUCGUAAAGUUCUGUCCUGGGUGAAGAUAAUGACGGUAACUCAGGAGGAAGCCCCGGCUAACUACGUGCCAGCAGCCGCGGUAAUACGUAGGGGGCGAGCGUUGUUCGGAAUUAUUGGGCGUAAAGGGUACGUAGGCGGCUCGUUAAGUUUGGCGUUAAAUUCCGGGGCUCAACCCCGGCAAGCGUUGAAAACUGGCGAGCUUGAGUAGUAGAGGGGACAGUGGAAUUCCUAGUGUAGCG
rnacentral:rRNA from 1 species